AGUCCUGUAGCUCAAUGGUGGAGCGGUUCCUUACAAGAACAGGGUUGCGGGUUCAAAUCCUGCCAGGACUACCA
rnacentral:tRNA from 2 species